rnacentral:tRNA from 1 species
UCCCUGGUCGUCUAAUCGGCAAGACGGCGGAUUGUUAAUCCGCGAAACGGCGUUCGAAUCGCUGCCGGGGAGCCA